ACCAGAAGAUCAAUUCAGAAGCUGUUAGAAUGGGAAAAUAAUAGAUUAUAUCACAAGCUUGCUUUGCACUGGAAGUUGACUAAAAGGAAAUGUGAAACUAGCAAUAUGAUGGAGUAUGUGAUACUAAUAGAAUUCUUACCAAAAUAUCCCAUAUUCCGACCUGACUGAGGAAUUUUAUUCAGUCACUUCUGUAUUCUGUCAUUUCCUACCCUUAGUGCCUUGUAGAUGAUUUUGGAAUGAAGAUGGUCUCCUUUGCUGUGUUAAAUUUAUUCUUUAUAAUGGUAGAACAUUCUCCUCACAUUUUCAUUUGUGUUGUUUUAAGAAGAAAUUUUGCACAUCUUUUUGUUGUUAAAUGAGGCUUGUGUUUUGCACUGUCGAUUUUUAAAUAAAUACACACACAUACAUAUAUGUGUAUAUAUAUAUAGUUGCCACUAAAAAUAAAACAUCAGUGCUGGUGUUUAAAAAAGAAAAACAUGUUCUGAGCAUGCUGCCUUAUAAUUUUCAUACUCACUGUUUCUAAAUAUGCAUCAUUUUUCUAAGCUACUUAAUGCUCUAUAAUCUCUUACUGGACAUACGUAAAUAAGCUUUUGGUAGCUUUUAGAAAUGGUUUUACUCUUACCUGCUUUUAAAGGACAUGUAAUUAAUAGCACUGGUUUUGUCCUGCACUUUGCUAAAUUAUCACUUAUGUUAGUGGAUAAAAUAUUUAGACUCCUAAAGACUUGUAAAUAUUGUCUCUGCAUAAUGUAAAAUGUGAUAUGCCAUGGUUUACAGAAUGUAAUGUUACUCAAUGUAUUGCCAACAAUUUUGCAUAGAUUUUAAUAUGAAUGAAGUUUGCAAGCAUCCGUUUGAAUGUAUAGACUAUUAACAUGCUAUUUUAUGGCAAAGCCAUAACAAGUAUGUUAAAAAUUUCAGGUGUGGGCAGGGUUGCCCUUUGUAAUAAGUGGAUCAAAAUGAAAUCAUUGCCUGAGAUUAUAGUCUACAUUGCACCUGAAACCAAGAACCUUAUUUUUUCUCCAUUUAAUUCAAUAAAUCCCAUUUUUCCUCCCUUCUCAUGCCCCAAAGAAUUCAUUUGAUAUCUGACACAUUUCACAGCUUCACUCUCCUCAUUUAUUUCCUUUUUUGUAUCCUUUCCCUCAUUUGCAAAUACACAGAAUUAUGACCUUUAAGGAGUUUUUCAAGAUUUCAGAUGUCUCAGGAUGUGUCUAGACCCCCUUGAAAGCCACUGCUAACUCCUUUCUGGAGUUAUGAUAAUCUUCUUUGAGAAAGAGCGCUAAUUGAAAAGCUGUACCUAAAGAAUAUAUAGUGGCUGAUUCAUAAUUGAUAAAAUACUCCUAAUCCUCUUUUUGAGGAUCUUUUGUAAACGUGGAUAUUAUUAGUGAGGAAAGAGAAGUAUUUAGACAAAAGUAUUUUAGUUUAUAAAUUAGCUUCACAAGUAGCCUUUUUGUUGUUAUGUGAAUAUUUCUCUAUUUUUCUUCACAUUAUGUGUGGCAGCACCACACUCUAAUUCUUCUAGAAUUUGAAUUUUUAACAUAAUGAAAAGCUUUACAUUGUGUCAAUUCAGCUGCAAAUUUAUGCCUGUAUAUAGGCAUUAUUUUGUAAUUCCUAGUGCUAAAAAUAAAAGUAUCUGGGACUGUAUAGUAUUUUAUUUAUCAUCCUACUCAUUGUUUUUAGUAAACUUUUUUAGGCAAACAUUCAUUACAAUGAAGAGAACAAUCAUUUCUUCAUACAAGGUCAAGCCUUUUAAAACCACUUUUAAAAUUUAUGCCUAAUUUGAAACCCACAGUCCUGGACCAGUAAAAGAAGAGGGAAAAAUAGAGACACUGUUUGACAUGUGACUAUAAUUGUUUGUGCAAAUACUUUUCCAUCUCCCUCUGUAGAAUCCCACUAGCCCCAUGCCACUCAGAAUCUCUAACUUUUAGUAUGUUGUGUGUGCCUGCAAAUAACAUUUGUCUCUCGCCAUCAAAAUUGAAGGUGUAUUUUUAUAGACAAAGUGGAAAACUCUGAAAAUGCAUACCAAAUGUCUUGUUUUAUAGCUAAGGUCAGGGAAAAAGUGUAUCUGUGGUUUAUGUUCCAGCUAGUAUCUUCAGGUCUAUACUUGAAACUGUGACAGUUUAAUACCAAAAUUGAUUUCCAGCAUAAUACAAAAUUUCUAAUUAUCACCAUUAAAGUGUCAACUCUUAAAAUCUUUUUUUUUUUUUUGAAAACAGAAUUUGGCCAUAUGAUAGUCAUAGUAACUUUUUUUUUUUUUUUUGCCAUGUAAAAUCACAUUUGUUUGGCUCAAAGAACAGGAAGUGGUGAAUUGUUUCCUUAAAACAGAUAUUGAGACAGGAAUUGAGUGCAUCUGGAGGUGAUGGAGCAUAUGACUCAAGUUACAGUAGUAUUUAUCAUAAAAAUCACUUACCAGCCUGUGUAAAUUAAUUUAAAACCCACUCUAAUAGCUCUUAAAGUUAUUAUUUUAUUGUUCAUUAUGCUGAUUGGUUUAUCUUAUUUUCUUGAACUACUCAGAAAAUACCCAGUUUUCUUUUUUUCUUUAUGAUUGCUUUUUCAAGCUCUUCCUUUGGAGAGGGCUGAUUAGCAGUUUGGUAUUUUGGAGUGCUUUAGGGGGCUUUCUUUUCAAUGGUAUUGGCAGCAGUGAAUGCUGAAAUGACAGAGUACACUGUGGACAUUAACUCCUCCCUUAUUGACCUUUUUUUCUCACAUCCUCAGGAUAGAACAAACUUGGACAUUUCUGUCAAGUUAAUAAAUUAUUUUGGUGAUAGUUGUUUUUAGAUUGAAGAAACUAAUUUUGAAUUUAUUUGUUACAUAAUACUCCUUUAUGAAACCUGCUGUGGACAUUUCCAGAGAAAAAUAACAUUUCUGCCAAAGUAUAUAAAUUUUACAAAGCUUUGAGGUUACAAGUUAAAACCGUUCCUUCUCUGACUUUCCUUUAUGCAUCUCCACCCUCAUAAAUUGUCUAUAAAAUUAAAUAGGCUCUAAUCUUUUUCAGCUAUUCUUUGUUCUCUUCUACCCCCUAUGUUAAUUUAGGAAAGAGACCAUUGUAGUCCGAUGUUAGAAGUAGAUGAAGUGCCUUGUCUUCUUUAAAUAAAAAUAACAUUUUAUGUUGAAGGAAGCAGAACAAAUGAAUUGGUAAAUCAUUACAUUUUAAACCAUCGUCUUCAGCUAAGUAUGAGAAUAUCUCACUAGUGUACUAUAUUUCUUCUAUUUAUUAUUUAGAGUCUGUUUCUUUGGUUUCCCUCAAUCAUGAGAUAUAGUAGUGACAAAGUAUUACAGAACUGGACUAUCAGUCCCUUAUAAAACUAGUAUAAUUCUAAUGCUAGCAAAUAUGUAAUUUAACAUGGUUCUGGAAGAACAAUGCUCUUUGAUUGAAGCUCUACUAAAACCUACUCAAGUAUUUAAUGCACAUAUUCAUAUUAUUAUGACCUAUAAACACUAAUGUUUGAUCAGUUCAUUAAACUAUGUUAAUAUUUAGCAUGCUACCAUUUUUUAAUGAACUUUAUUCUUAUUUUUUCAUAAUUUGAGCGAAGUUCCAUAACAUUUGUAAGGCUUCAAACAAAUAGGAUUUUUUUUAGGUGUAUGAGAGCUUUAAAAAUUCAUUAGCAUUUUAAUUUUGUUUACAAAGAAAUUGCCACUUAAAAAAAAUCAAACUUCACUACUUGAACAUAAAGUCUCCUAACAAUAUUUCAUUAGAAUUGACUGUAUUGACCUGAGAGGAUAUAGAAAUUAUAAAUGCCCAUUUAAUUGGAGCAGUUUCACAUAGUGCAAAUACUUUUUGCUAAUUCGAUAACAAGAUGCUCAAAGUUUAGUCCUCCUAUAACUAUAAAAUUCUGCUUUAAAAAAUCCAUUUUGAAACAGUUGUCAAAUUGUUUCAGUUUCUUUAAAGGGUGAACUAUUGGGCAAUUUUCCACAGAAAAUGAAUAGAUUUUAAUAAUACUUGAUACAAUAUGUGGACUAAAUAUAAAUAUAUGUGUAUAUAUAUUGCCCCCAGUUUUUCUUUCCUGAUUCUGAGCCAAACUUUUCAUUUCUAUGAUGGCAACCUGAGACUAUGUUCCAUUUUCUAAUGAGGAAAUGAUAUAAUAUGCUCCAGGCAAGUCACUUACAUUACAUGCCAUUCUCUUCAUCUGUAAAAUCACGGGGUUGAAACUAGAGCUGGACAGAAAAUUAGAGGUCACCUGAUAUUCUGUGAUUCUAGGAAUCCUUAGGAAAUUUUUACAGAUGGUCAGAGUUGAUUUUUCUCAAAUCUACUACCCUUGGUGGAAACUCUCACAGUGCCUUGCACACAGUAGAUGUUUGAUUUACCAACUGGCUUUUAGCCCAUGUGUGUUGGUAUCACACAGACUCAAAGAAUCUGAUGCCUACUUGACCUCAGCCCCUCCGUGGUGUUAAGAAUGAUUGUAGUUUCCCCUAGGAACUGAGGACUGAGUGAGGUCUGUGUGCUUCACCUGUGUGGAAUCUGACUAUAUGCAGUUGGUACCUGGGCAAGAAUUAUAGGUGUGACAACAAUGGAGAUAUAUUAGGACUCACUUUGACAUUGAUGUGAAAAAGUUUCAUUUCCUAUCCAAAAUCUGCUUCAAUGUCUUAUUUGGUUCCAUAUCCUCAAAAAGAUCUAUUGGAACAAAUUGAUUGAUACUAUAUGGAAAAGAAAGUGUUAAUAGAAUUCAAACCCAAGUCGCUUCUGGUUUAAUUCUUAGCUCUGCUGCUUAAUUCCUCUGUACCUCAUGUCCUCAUUGUGGAAGUGGGGACAAUAAUAUGGACCUACCUCACAGGGGAAUUGAGGAUUUUUUUUUCAUAUAUUAAUGUGCUUUUGAAGGUAUAUACACUGAAGGAUAUAUUGUAUAUCAUAAUUUCAUAAUUUUAAAUAGAGUCCUUUAGAUCUAUGUUAUUAUGUUUUCUUAGUCAAACCCUACAGAAUGAGUAUUGCAGUUAAUCUGUUUUUUGGUAGUAAUUUUUGUUAUUGAUCCCCUAUGUGUUAACAUGAGUAACUGUUAUGUUAAUACUUGAUUUAGAGAGGAAAAGCAGGUGGAUAUAAACCAAUGGUUCUCAACUUGGGGCAGAUGAAAAUAGCAGUAGGGUCAUCCUUGAACCUUUUUCAGCAUUUUAGAAAGUAUACUAGAAAUUAUACAUUUACCCAUAAUAUUCCUACUUCACAAGCCAACUUAAGACAUUGAAUUUUCACAUUAUGCUUAUAUUUCUUCAAUUCUAACACUGGUUAUCACACAGUAAUCAGAAACUGUGAAUGGCAGUAAUGCUUUUGAUUAAUUUUUUUUAAUAAAGCCUAUUGUUACAUGCAAUUUAAUACUUGAAAAUAUAGGGAAAGAAUGGUAAAGGAAUCCUUAUGAUAAAAAUGUUGGGAGCCACUUUUACAAAGGAACCAAGAUUAUUUGACUCCCACGGGUUGCUUACACUAGUCCCUAAAUAAUGAAAUGCUAGAUUAUGUGUAUGUAUUUUGGCUAGAUUGGGCUAUAUAACUUCAGGUUACAAUUUGUUUUUAUUCUCUUUCCGGAUGAUAUAACUGAGCUAAUUUAUCUGGGUGUGUGUGUGUAAAUCAUACAUACACACAAACACAGGACUGUAAAUAUGGAAAGUGUUAUAAUGUCAUGUUGUAGGAUUGGAGUAAAUAUCAAUGUCUGAGUCUCAAAGUAGUUCUGUGUAUAAAGUCAAAAUGAUAAGUCAAGGCAAUAAUUUCUCAAAUAUUCCUUUUACUCCUUGUUUUGUUUGCUUCUCUUUGCUUAAUUUUUUAAAUUUUUCAUUUUUAUAGUAAGCAAAAAGUAUAAAAUUCUUUUAAUGCUUGGACUUUUAAGCACGUUACCAAAUGUUUGAAAUUAUAUAAUCUACAAGUUAGUUUGCCAUCCUUAGACUAACCACGUACAAAUAUAUGAGUCUCAGCUGCAAAAAUAGAAAAUCCUGCUAGUGAGAAGGUGGGCAUUGAUCAAAACAGCUAUUUGAAAAGCCUAGGAUCUCUGCCCUUUUGACAGAGGAUUCCUGCUGGGACACUUUUACCAGAAGGAUAAAAGUGAAUAUGUCCAUUUAAGCCAAGAACUUUCAAUGCAUCUUGUAUUGUAUAGCCUGUGGAAUGAAUUCAUUUUUCUCCCUUGAUUUUGGGAGCGACUCCCUGGAAGAACUCAACCUAUAUACAGCUGUGCCAAAAUGAAGGAUACCUGCCUCUCUGAAACCUUCACUGCUGCUUCUGUCGUUGUUCACUUGUCAGAUAUUAAAUUUUAUUAUCUCAGGAUGCAAAAUUACAAUAAAGUGCAAAUCUGUGUUAAUGAAUUGUGUGUUCUUUGGUGGAUCUUCCUUUCUUCCCUUCCCUGCUUUCGUAAUUAUAAAGGAUUCCUAUUAAAAUUUUUAUUUUGCUUAUUGUCCUUUCCCAUAUUUGCUAGUGUUACAUCCAACCCUAUAAGUAAUUCAUGCUAUAUGUUGGAGUUGGUGGCCUUUGUUGUGCUCUGUUUGGCAUUUGGCUAGGUAGGAAUUUGAUUCUAAACAGCUCUGCAGUCACCCUGAAUGCCUACUUGUGAACUAUAAAAAUUAAAGUGCAAGUGGAGUUCCAGCUUACUAAGCAUAAUGUUUUAGUGCAAGAAAUGUUAAGAUCACUGAGAACUAUGUCUAGAUACUCAUGUUGCAAUAGAACAAAGGGUGGGGAAAAAAAUGUAAUGUAUACAUGUAAGGAUAACUUGACCCCCUUGCUGUACAGUGGGAAAAUAAAAAAAAAAUAAAAUAAAAA
rnacentral:lncRNA from 1 species